UACAGAGGGUGCGAGCGUUAAUCGGAAUUACUGGGCGUAAAGCGUGCGUAGACGGCUAUCUAAGUCGGGUGUGAAAGCCCCGGGCUCAACCUGGGAAUUGCAUUCGAGACUGAAUAGCUAGGGUGCGGUAGAGGGAAGCGGAAUUUCCGGUGUAGCGGUGAAAUGCGUAGAUAUCGGAAGGAACAUCAGUGGCGAAAAGC
rnacentral:rRNA from 1 species